rnacentral:snoRNA from 1 species
CCCACCCCAUACCUUACCAGUCGUCUGUUGGCUGGUGCAGUUCAGUAGUGAGCUGAUUCCAAAUCCCAGCCUAGGAAACAGGCUUGUUCUACAUGUGCAUAGCUCUGUGCAGAAAGCAUGGGAACAGUC